rnacentral:rRNA from 1 species
AGAAGUUUGUAAGGCACGCGGCGGAUGCCUUGGAGCCAGACGGCGAUGAAGGACGCGACUACCUGCGAUAAGCCUGGGGGAGCUGGACGUGAGCUUAGAUCCCGGGAUUUCCGAAUGGGGGAACCCAGCAUGCUACAUGCAUGCUAUCCAUGACCCAACACAUAAGUCAUGGAAGGCAACCCGGGGAACGGAAACAUCCAAGUACCCGGAGGAAAAGAAAGAGAGAUCGAUUCCGUGAGUAGUGGCGAGCGAAAGCGGAGCAGCCCAAAUGCGUAACACGAUGACGGAUCCUAGGAGAAUCCUCUGGAAUGAGGAGCCAAAGGGGGUGAGAGCCCCGUAUCCGAAGGGUGAAGCCAUCCAUCGCGAGAGAGUAAGUCGGGACACGUGAAAUCCUGACCGAAGACCGGGGGACCGCCCCCGAAGGCUAAAUACGAUCUGGCUACCGAUAGCGUACAAGUACCGUGAGGGAAAGGUGAAAAGCACCCCGUGAGGGGAGUGAAAGAGAUCCUGAAACCGCGUGCUGACGAGAUGGCGGAGGACGUUAAAGUCUGACGCCGUGCCUAUUGAAGAAUGAGCCUGCGAGUCAGUGCAUACGCGCAAGGUUAAGUCGAAGAGACGGAGCCGUAGCGAAAGCGAGCCCGAACAGGGCGCACAGUGCGUAUGUCUGCACCCGAAACCCGGCGAUCUAGCCAUGUCCAGGAUGAAGCAGGGGUGAAACCCUGUGGAGGUCCGCACCGACGUUCGUUGAAACGCCCGCGGAUGAGAUGUGGCUCGUGGUGAAAUUCCAAUCGAGCUGGGUAAUAGCUGGUUCUCCCCGAAACAUCUUUAGGGAUGGCCUCACUGCAUGCGUACCGGAGGUAAAGCUACUGGAUGGGAGAGGCCCGAGCAAUCGGGUUCCCUCCCGACCAAACUCUGAAUGCCGGAUACGAUGAGCGUGGGAGCCAGUCGGUGGGAGAUAAGUUCCAUCGACAAGAGGGCAACAGCCCAGACCGCCGGAUAAGGCCCCUAAAUCUACGCUAAGUGUGUAAGGAUGUGGGAACACUAAGACAGCCAGGAUGUUGGCUCAGAGGCAGCCAUCAUUCAAAGAAUGCGUAACAGCUCACUGGUCAAGUGUCCCUGCGCCGAAAAUUUACCGGGGCUAAGCGUAGUGCCGAAUCCGCGGAUUCAUACGCAAGUAUGAGUGGUAGGGGAGCGUUGUAUGUGCGGUGAAGGGAUACCGUGAGGAAGUCCUGGAGCGCAUACAAGUGAGAAUGCAGGCGUAAGUAGCGAUGAAGGGUGGGAAUCCCUUCCGCCGAAUGACUAAGGUUUCCAGGGCAAGGUUCGUCCUCCCUGGGUCAGCCGGGAGCUAAGGUGAGGCCGAAAGGCGCAGCCGAUGCACAGAUGGUCAAGAUUCCAUCGCCCGGGCAUGUCUUGGCUGGGCAGUGACGGAUCGGGAAGGCAGUCGCCCCCUGUCGGAUGGGGGUCCUUAUUCUGGAUUGGUCCAGGCAGCACCUGGAUGUAAUGUCUGGAACGAGGGGAGGAAACCAGGGAUGGGAGUACGAAGCCUGCCGGAACGGUCCCGGGAAAAGCUGCUCAGUGUCGCAUGUCCGGCCCGUACCGAGAACGGACACACGUGGUCAGGUCGAGUAGACCGAGGCGAGCGAGAUAACUGUUGUUAAGGAACUCUGCAAAAUUGCUCCGCAAGUUAGCGAUAAGGAGCGCUCUCCUCCGGGAGAGCCGCAGUGAAGAGGCCCAGGUAACUGUUUACCAAAAACACAGCUCUAUGCGAAGGCGCAAGCCGAUGUAUAUGGGGUGAAGCCUGCCCGGUGCCGGAAGAUUAAGGGGAGGGGUCAAGCGCAAGCUGCAGCCCUGAGCCGAAGUCCCGGUGAACGGCGGCCGUAACUAUAACGGUCCUAAGGUAGCGAAAUUCCUUGUCAGGCAAGUUCUGACGCGCAUGAAUGGUAUAAUAAUCUGGGCGCUGUCUCGACAGCAGACUCGGCGAAAUCUUAAUCCCUGUGAAGAUGCAGGGUACCCGCGACUAGACGGAAAGACCCCAUGGAGCUUCACUGCAGUUUGGCAUUGGGCGGCCGCGUGCCGUGCACAGGAUAGGUGGGAGACUUUGAGACCAGGUUCUCGGACCUGGUGGAGUCGCCGUUUGGAUACCACCCUCGGUGUGCGUCCGUCCUAACCGGAACCCUGGACGGGUCUCGGGACAGUGUCUGACGGGCAGUUUGACUGGGGCGGUCGCCUCCCAAAGAGUAACGGAGGCGCUCGAAGGUACCCUUGGGCCGGUUGGAA